rnacentral:rRNA from 1 species
GAAUAUUGGACAAUGGGGGCAACCCUGAUCCAGCCAUGCCGCGUGUGUGAAGAAGGCCUUUUGGUUGUAAAGCACUUUAAGCAGUGAAGAAGACUCAAUGGUUAAUACCCUUGGAGGUUACAAUUAGCUCCAGAAUAACACCCGGCUACCCCUGUCCCAGCGCCCGCGGUAAUACAGAGGGUGCAAGCGUUAAUCGGAAUUACUGGGCGUAAAGCGAGCGUAGGUGGCUUGAUAAGUCAGAUGUGAAAUCCCCGGGCUUAACCUGGGAACUGCAUCUGAUACUGUUAGGCUAGAAUAGGUGAGAGGAAGGUAGAAUUCCAGGUGUAGCGGUGAAAUGCGUAGAGAUCUGGAGGAAUACCGAUGGCGAAGGCAGCCUUCUGGCAUCAUAUUGACACUGAGGUUCGAAAGCGUGGGUAGCAAAC